rnacentral:lncRNA from 1 species
UGAAUGCUUUAAUUUAUAGCAUAACUAAAACUUUGCAAGAUUUUAUGGUGAUGCAAGACUUGGACUAAGUUAGCUUGUGAUGCAAUUACUUUUUCAAGCUUCUUCAUUCAAGAAGGCGGUAUCAUGUGCGAAUACAACUAUAUAGUAAAAAAUAAAAAUAUAGAUUUUAUUAUAGAAGAGCCUAGCAAAAAGAUGUAAUAGAAAAAUAAAGAUAAAAGAUAGAAAGAUAAUAAAAGAUUUAGAUUUAAUACUAUCUUUUUAGAGAAAAAACUUCUAUUUACUUUGUAGAGGCAUAUAUGAGCCAAAUCAAAGUAAAUAAAAUGAGA